GUGCCAGCAGCCGCGGUAAUACGUAGGGUGCGAGCGUUGUCCGGGAAUUACUGGGCGUAAAGAGCUCGUAGGUGGUUUGUCGCGUCGUCUGUGAAAUUCCGGGGCUUAACUUUCGGGCGUGCAGGCGAUACGGGCAUAACUUGAGUGCUGUAGGGGAGACUGGAAUUCCUGGUGUAGCGGUGGAAUGCGCAGAUAUCAGGAGGAACACCGAUGGCGAAGGCAGGUCUCUGGGCAGUAACUGACGCUGAGGAGCGAAAGCAUGGGGAGCGAACAGGAUUAGAUACCCUGGUAGUCC
rnacentral:rRNA from 1 species